UACGUAGGGUGCAAGCGUUAAUCGGAAUUACUGGGCGUAAAGCGUGCGCAGGCGGUUUUGUAAGUCUGUCGAGAAAGCCCCGGGCUCAACCUGGGAAUUGCGAUGGAGACUGCAAGGCUUGAAUCUGGCAGAGGGGUGUAGAAUUCCACGUGUAGCAGUGAAAUGCGUAGAGAUGUGGAGGAACACCGAUGGCGAAGGCAGCCCCCUGGGUCAAGAUUGACGCUCAUGCACGAAAGCGUGGGGAGCAAACAGG
rnacentral:rRNA from 1 species